UACAGAGGUCCCGAGCGUUGUUCGGAUUUAUUGGGCGUAAAGGGUGCGUAGGCGGCGGAGUAAGUUGGGUGUGAAAUCCCGGGGCUUAACCUCGGAAUGGCAUUCAAUACUGCUUCGCUAGAGUACUGGAGAGGAGGCUGGAAUUUACGGUGUAGCAGUGAAAUGCGUAGAUAUCGUAAGGAAGGCCGGUGGCGAAAAGCGAGCCUCUGGACAGUUACUGACGCUGAUGCACGAAGGCCAGGGGAGCAAACGGG
rnacentral:rRNA from 1 species